rnacentral:rRNA from 1 species
CCUCUUGGAUACUGUGGCAAUUCUAGAGCUAAUACAUGCAGUGAGCCUGAAGCCCUUUGGGCGACGGGUGCUUUUAUUAGACCAAGAUCGAUCGGGUUUCGGCCCGUAUUGUGUGGUGACUCUGGAUAACUUUGUGCUGAUCGCAUGGCCACGAGCCGGCGACGUUUCUUUCAAGUGUCUGCCUUAUCAACUUUCGAUGGUAGGUUACUUGCUUACCAUGGUUGUUACGGGUAACGGAGAAUCAGGGUUCGAUUCCGGAGAGGGAGCCUGAGAAACGGCUACCACAUCCAAGGAAGGCAGCAGGCGCGCAAAUUACCCACUCCCGGCACGGGGAGGUAGUGACGAAAAAUAACAAUACGGGACUCUUUUGAGGCCCCGUAAUUGAAAUGAGUACACUCUAAAUCCUUUAACGAGGAUCAAUUGGAGGGCAAGUCUGGUGCCAGCAGCCGCGGUAAUUCCAGCUCCAAUAGCGUAUACUAAAGCUGCUGCGGUUAAAAAGCUCGUAGUUGGAUCUCAGUUCCAGACGAGUAGUGCAUCUACCCGAUGCGACGGCUCGGACUGAACAUCAUGCCGGUCCUUUCUUGGUGCACUUCAUUGUGUGCCUCGAGAAGGCCGGUGCUUUUACUUUGAAAAAAUUAGAGUGCUCAACGCAGGCGAGUCGCCUGAAUAAACUUGCAUGGAAUAAUAGAACAAGACCUCGUUUCUGUUCUGUUGGUUUUUGGAAUACGAGGUAAUGAUUAAGAGGGACAGACGGGGGCAUUCGAUUUUUCGGGGGCGAAA